rnacentral:lncRNA from 1 species
CUUGAACCCAGGAGGUGGAGGGUGCAGCGAGCUGAGAUUGCGCCACUGCACUCCAGCCUGGGUGACAGAGCAAGACUCUGUCUCAAAUAAAUACAAAUAAAUAAAUAAAUAAAUAUUUAUUUGUUUAUUACUGGGAUAUGAUUAGGAAACCAAAUGUGUUACAUUUUUAACAUUGUAUAGUGACAUAGAACACACAUAUAGUAAGACACGUAAAGAUUAAAUGUACAACUUAAUCAAUCAUUACAAUGCCAACAUCCAUGAACCCACCACCCAAAUCAAGAAACAGCAUGAGGCCAGCACCAGAAGCUCUCCCGUGCCUCCUCCUGUCCACAUUACUCUCCCUUCCCACCAAGACAACUCACCAUCAGACUUUCAUAGCAAUCCCUUCAUUGCUUCUCAAUACACCUUCAAAAUCUAAUAUUUAUUCCUAAACAUGCUUAGUAACAUUAUACAAAUUAAACUAUACAGUAUGUUCUCUUUUGUGCCUCUUUUGUGAUCUAAUAAUUGUCAAUUUAGUGACCCAGAAAGUAUCAGCCUGUCAAUAAAUGCUGCUGAAUCAGUUGUAUAUCCUUACUGAAAAAAAAAAGAAAGAAAUUUGACACCUAUCUCACUUUAUACACAAAAUUAAUUCCAGUAGAAAACAUAUCUAUCUAUAAAAAUCAAUACAAUAAAACUUCUAGAAGCCGAUAUUAGAGAAUAUCUUCCUAACCUUGAAAUAGAAAAAGAUUUUUAAAAUAGAAUCCAAAAUUCAGAAUCAUAAAAAAAUGUUCAUCAGUGGUCACAAAUAUAAUGUAUCUAAAAUAGGGACAGUAAGAAAUUACUGGGCAUAACUAGAAGGUGCCAUGGGAUGUGCCUGGAAAGCUUCUCAUGACGACCUACCAUGAGCCUAUCACACUCGUGCUAGAAGCCUCUCACCAGGGGCUUCAGUGUUUGUGGUUAGGAAAAGAGAAAUAAGAACAACAGCAGAAUGCACCGUCAGGUACUUUGGAAGUCACAGAAGGGAAAAGGGCAGGAAAAUCGGAAAUAUCGGCACACAUGUUAAUGAAUGUUUGUUGUAGUUAAAUUGAAGUUGAAGGAGAGGACGGAGUGAAGGACACUGGAAGCGGGGGCUCCAGGAAUAGUCCUGUGAUUCGGCUGGUAUUUCUUGUGUAUAAUUCCAGUUCUUGUCAAACUUUUUGGUCACUAAACUGUUCCUUUCUAUAUGUUAAGGCAGGUUUCACCUCCUUUCUGACUUUAGAAUAAGUUGGUAGAGGGCUUCACAGAGUGAAAAAUACCCAUCGUCUAAAACAUGCACAUACUUCUAUAAGAAGCACAAAGUAUAACUGAUGAUAUUCAAAGAGCAAAUGCUUAUUGGACGUCUACCAUUUCAAAGAGUGUGGUAGGAGCUAAGGUUCCAGGAUGAGGAUCUCAUGAAGAUCAAUAUCUAUCAGGAAAAAAAGACACAUAUACAACAUACACUCCAUACACCAGAAACUUUGUGCACUAUUCUCUCCUCAGUUCCUAGAAAAAUGCCUGGUUCAAAAUAGAUAGUUA